rnacentral:rRNA from 1 species
GAUGAACGCUGGCGGCGUGCCUAGUACAUGCAAGUCGAGCGAACAGACGAGGAGCUUGCUCCUCUGACGUUAGCGGCGGACGGGUGAGUAACACGUGGAUAACCUACCUAUAAGACUGGGAUAACUUCGAGAAACCGGAGCUAAUACCGGAUAAUAUAUUGAACCGCAUGGUUCAAUAGUGAAAGACGGUUUUGCUGUCACUUAUAGAUGGAUCCGCGCCGCAUUAGCUAGUUGGUAAGGUAACGGCUUACCAAGGCGACGAUGCGUAGCCGACCUGAGAGGGUGAUCGGCCACACUGGAACUGAGACACGGUCCAGACUCCUACGGGAGGCAGCAGUAGGGAAUCUUCCGCAAAGGGCGAAAGCCUGACGGAGCAACGCCGCGUGAGUGAUGAAGGUCUUCGGAUCGUAAAACUCUGUUAUUAGGGAAGAACAAAUGUGUAAGUAACUAUGCACGUCUUGACGGUACCUAAUCAGAAAGCCACGGCUAACUACGUG